rnacentral:pre_miRNA from 1 species
GGUGAAAACUUUUAUUUGUUUGUACUGUUAAAAUUUGAUUGGUAGAAUAAUCGAAUAAUGAUACAUGACGUGCCACUUGUACCUCAUGCUAAUUUAUAAAGAUCAAUUUUUAACUGUAAAAAUAGAUAAAAUUUUUUUAUA